rnacentral:rRNA from 1 species
AACCCUACGGGGCGCAGCAGUGAGGAAUAUUGGUCAAUGGGCUUACGCCUGAACCAGCCAAGUCGCGUGAGGGAAGACUGCCCUAUGGGUUGUAAACCUCUUUUGUCAGGGAGCAAUUGGCGCUACGUGUAGCGUUAUCGAGAGUACCUGAAGAAAAAGCAUCGGCUAACUCCGUGCCAGCAGCCGCGGUAAUACGGAGGAUGCGAGCGUUAUCCGGAUUUAUUGGGUUUAAAGGGUGCGUAGGCGGUUUGUCAAGUCAGCGGUAAAAAUUCCGGGCUCAACCCGGUCCCGCCGUUGAAACUGGC